rnacentral:lncRNA from 1 species
UAGUAUCCAUCGCGGCGCGCGAUACGUCCCUCGAAAUAUAGUAUCCGUCGCGGCGCGCGACACGUCCCUCGAAAUAUAGUAUCCAUCGCGGCGCGCGAUACGUCCCUCGAAAUGGUACAUCCUCUUUAUUUUCUUAUUCUUUCUCAAUGCACAUAACACUUGUCAGAACCAUGUCUCAGAACAAUGCAAAUGACAUGUUCACACAAAUAAUGAGGAGAUGACCAUUUUCAUAACAUUGCACAAUUCACAACAACACAAUCAGGAUACAACAUCAACAAUGAUUCAACAAGCCUUUCAAACAAUUCUCAAC